rnacentral:rRNA from 1 species
UACGGGGGGGGCAAGCGUUGUUCGGAAUUACUGGGCGUAAAGGGCUCGUAGGUGGCCAACUAAGUCAGACGUGAAAUCCCCAGGCUCAACUUGGGAACUGCGUCUGAUACUGGAUGGCUUGAAUUCGGGAGAGGGAUGCAGAAUUCCAGGUGUAGCGGUGAAAUGCGUAGAUAUCUGGAGGAAUACCGGUGGCGAAGGCGGCAUCCUGGACCGACAUUGACGCUGAGGAGCGAAAGCCAGGGGAGCAAACGGG